rnacentral:rRNA from 1 species
UGGGGGAAUAUUGGGGCAAUGGGCGAAAGCCUUACCCAGCAAUGCCGCGUGAGUGAAGAAGGUCUUCGGAUUGUAAAGCUCUUUGAUCAGGGACGAACACAAUGACGGUACCUGAAGAACAAGCCACGGCUAACUACGUGCCAGCAGCCGCGGUAAUACGUAGGUGGCAAGCGUUAUCCGGAUUUACUGGGUGUAAAGGGCGCGUAGGCGGGGAUGCAAGUCAGAUGUGAAAUCUAUGGGCUUAACCCAUAAACUGCAUUUGAAACUGUAUCUCUUGAGUGUCGGAGAGGUAGACGGAAUUCCUAGUGUAGCGGUGAAAUGCGUAGAUAUUAGGAGGAACACCGGUGGCGAAGGCGGCUUUCUGGACUGUAACUGACGCUGAGGCUCGAAAGCGUGGGGAGCAAACAGGAUUAGAUACCCUGGUAGU